rnacentral:rRNA from 1 species
AGAGUUUGAUCAUGGCUCAGAACGAACGCUGGCGGCGUGGAUAAGACAUGCAAGUCGAGCGGGAUUUCUUUUGGUAGCAAUACCGAGAGAAAUUCAGCGGCGAACGGGUGCGUAACACGUGGGCAAUUUGCCUUAAAGUGUGGGAUAGCUCGGCGAAAGCCGAAUUAAUACCGCAUGUGGCUACUGGAGACAUCUUCGGGACGCUAAAGGUGGCGCAAGCUACCGCUUUUUGAGGAGCCCGCGGCCUAUCAGCUUGUUGGCGAGGUAACGGCUCACCAAGGCGAUGACGGGUAGCUGGUCUGAGAGGACGACCAGCCACACUGGGACUGAGACACGGCCCAGACACCUACGGGUGGCAGCAGUCGAGAAUUUUUGACAAUGGGGGAAACCCUGAUCGAGCGACGCCGCGUGGAGGAUGAAGGUCUUCGGGUUGUAAACUCCUGUCAUUUGGGAACAAGGCGUAUGUGUUAACUGUACGUGCGUUGAUAGUACCAGAAGAGGAAGAGACGGCUAACUCUGUGCCAGCAGCCGCGGUAAUACAGAGGUCUCAAGCGUUGUUCGGAUUCAUUGGGCGUAAAGGGUGUGUAGGUGGCGCGCUAAGUCGGGUGUGAAAUUUCGGAGCUUAACUCCGAAACUGCAUUCGAUACUGGCGUGCUUGAGGACUGGAGAGGAGACUGGAAUUUACGGUGUAGCAGUGAAAUGCGUAGAUAUCGUAAGGAAGACCAGUGGCGAAGGCGGGUCUCUGGACAGUUCCUGACACUGAGACACGAAGGCCAGGGGAGCAAACGGGAUUAGAUACCCUAGUAGUCC